rnacentral:rRNA from 1 species
UAUCGUAGGGCUUCGGCCCUGUCGAGAUAGAACCCUUGCCUUUUUAAGUACCUUUCGUUUCCUCGGCAGGCUCGCCUGCCGAUGGACCCCCCAAAAAACACUUUGCAGUACCUGUAAUAGUCUGAACAACAAACAAAAAAUUAAAACUUUCAACAACGGAUCUCUUGGUUCUGGCAUCGAUGAAGAACGCAGCGAAAUGCGAUAAGUAGUGUGAAUUGCAGAAUUCAGUGAAUCAUCGAAUCUUUGAACGCACAUUGCGCCCUUUGGUAUUCCUUAGGGCAUGCCUGUUCGAGCGUCAUUUAAACCUUCAAGCUCAGCUUGGUGUUGGGUGACUGUCCGCUGCCCUCGGGUGCGGACUCGCCUCAAAAUCAUUGGCGGCCGGUACAUUGGCUUCGAGCGCAGCAGAAACGCGAACUCGGAGUUGUUGUAUUAGCUCCCAGAAGCUAUCUUCAUAAUUUUGACCUCGGAUCAGGUAGGGAUACCCGCUGAACUUAAGCAUAUCAAUAAGCGGAGGAAAAGAAACCAACAGGGAUUGCCCUAGUAACGGCGAGUGAAGCGGCAAAAGCUCAAAUUUGAAAUCUGGCUCUUUCAGGGUCCGAGUUGUAAUUUGUAGAGGGUGCUUUGGAGUUGACUGUGGUCUAAGUUCCUUGGAACAGGACGUCGCAGAGGGUGAGAAUCCCGUAUGUGGCCGCCAGUCUUCGCCGUGUAAAGCCCCUUCGACGAGUCGAGUUGUUUGGGAAUGCAGCUCUAAAUGGGAGGUAAAUUUCUUCUAAAGCUAAAUAUUGGCCAGAGACCGAUAGCGCACAAGUAGAGUGAUCGAAAGAUGAAAAGCACUUUGGAAAGAGAGUCAAAAAGCACGUGAAAUUGUUGAAAGGGAAGCGCUUGCAGCCAGACUUGCCUGUAGUUGCUCAUCCGGGCUUUUGCCCGGUGCACUCUUCUAUAGGCAGGCCAGCAUCAGUCCUGGCGGUUGGAUAAAUGCCUGUUGAAUGUACCUCUCUUCGGGGAGGACUUAUAGCUUCGGGCGGCAUACAACCAGCUGGGAU